rnacentral:rRNA from 1 species
AUUGAACGCUGGCGGCAGGCCUAACACAUGCAAGUCGAGCGGAUGACGGGAGCUUGCUCCUUGAUUCAGCGGCGGACGGGUGAGUAAUGCCUAGGAAUCUGCCUGGUAGUGGGGGACAACGUUUCGAAAGGAACGCUAAUACCGCAUACGUCCUACGGGAGAAAGCAGGGGACCUUCGGGCCUUGCGCUAUCAGAUGAGCCUAGGUCGGAUUAGCUAGUGGGUGGGGUAAUGGCUCACCAAGGCGACGAUCCGUAACUGGUCUGAGAGGAUGAUCAGUCACACGGGAAUUAAGACACGGUCCAGACUCCUACGGGAGGCAGCAGUGGGGAAUAUUGGACAAUGGGCGAAAGCCUGAUCCAGCCAUGCCGCGUGUGUGAAGAAGGUCUUCGGAUUGUAAAGCACUUUAAGUUGGGAGGAAGGGCAGUAAGCUAAUACCUUGCUGUUUUGACGUUACCGACAGAAUAAGCACCGGCUAACUCUGUGCCAGCCGCCGCCGUAA